rnacentral:lncRNA from 1 species
GUAUUUGUUCUGAUUCAUCUAAAUACCGAGGUGGCAGAAAAGCCUCUUCCUGUGGCCCCCACCACCUCCAGUCCACAGUGAAUUCUACCAGACCACCACCAACGUUCACAUAAAGCCCGCGGACUCUUCCAUCAGAUUUUGGUGAAUGCUGCCAAAACUGGGACUGACCCUUCAGGGCAUUGGGCUGCUAUUUGGCCCAGGGAAGGUCUGGAAAUUUACCUAAGAGACCGGGCCUGGACUCAGGGACCCCAAAAGCCUGCUAAUUUCUCUACCCUACUGUGGUCAAGCUGGUACCAAAGGCUCUUCACUGAAAAGAAUGCCAAAUGCCUCUGGAAGUAAUAAAGAGACUGAACUAAUCUAAAAUUGUUUGAAACACUCAAGUCAUUUGGAACCAAUAUAUGUUGUCGUUAUCCCAUUCCAGUCUAUCCUCAUUCCUGUCCAUCCUCAAUUACCGAAAAGAAAUGUGACCUGUGAGAAAUUGGAACUCCAGCAACA